CUAAGCGUACACGGUGGAUGCCCUGGCAGUCAGAGGCGAUGAAGGACGUGCUAAUCUGCGAAAAGCGCCGGCGAGGUGAUAUGAACCUUUGACCCGGCGAUGUCCGAAUGGGGAAACCCAGUGUGUUCCGACACACUAUCGUUAACUGAAUACAUAGGUUAACGAGGCGAACCGGGGGAACUGAAACAUCUAAGUACCCCGAGGAAAAGAAAUCAACCGAGAUU
rnacentral:rRNA from 1 species